ensembl:lncRNA
CACCAGGCUACCCUGCCACCCCAACGCUCUAACCACCAGGCUACCUGCCGCCCCAACGCUCUAACCACUAGGCUACCCUGCCACCCCAACGCUCUAACCACUAGGCUACCCUGCCACCCCAACGCUCUAACCACUAGGCUACCUGCCGCCCCAACGCUCUAACCACUAGGCUACCCUGCCGCCUCUACACUCUAACCACUAGGCUACCCUGCCGCCCCAACGCUCUAACCACUAGGCUACCCUGCCGCCCCAACGCUCUAACCACCAGGCUACCCUGCCACCCCAACGCUCUAACCACCAGGCUACCCUGCCGCCCCAACGCUCUAACCACCAGGCUACCCUGCCACCCUGCAUGUUUAAUUUGUAUUUUUGCCUUUAUGAUGAUGAUCGGGACCUGUUAACGGUUUAAUUUAGUAAAAAAUAAAAUAAAACAGUUUUCGGUUAGACAUGUUUUCUAAACAUUAAUGAUCCCAAAUGCGUUUAAAUGUUCAAAUGUCUCAACCUUAGUUAGGGGGCCCCCCUAGAUUUGACUCCAAAUCC